GGCCUGUUAGCUCAGCUGGUUAGAGCGUGGUGCUAAUAACGCCAAGGUUGUGGGAUCGAUCCCCACAUGGGCCA
rnacentral:tRNA from 1 species